rnacentral:lncRNA from 1 species
CUCUUCCAUCCCUAGCCCCUCUGAACUCUCCUCCAUACGCAGCCUGGGUUUACCUCCCAGAGUCACACUGGUCCUGCUCUCCCACUCGUUUAGUAAAAACAAAACUCUAGAUUCCUGGUGUUUCCCUACCAUUGCGUUGGCUGGCAGGAUGCGGAAGGUGAAAGCCGGGCUAUUGCUGCUGAAGGCAGAGGCUGAGGUGUGUUCACGGCUGGAACUCAGAACUCAUUUCUCCAUAGAAACGAUGGUGUACUGUUAGAUAGGUUCUAGAGUGCAUUUAGAACUCCAGAUGAGGUAUGUGAGCCAAACGGACUUUUAUGAGUUCUCCUGGACACAUACCUACUCCUUUUAAGGUUGUUUCCUCAGAAAUGUGGCUUUGAGUUCCAAACAGUUGACCAUAAAUUGUCUUUGUGGAGAGGGAGCCCUGGGGGCUUAUGACUCAAUUGUUUGCUGUGAAUUCAGACAGGUGUGAGCCCCUUUGAGGGACCAGCCCACUCCACCUCUACUCCGGGACCAAGACUUCUGAGCUGUUGGGGAAACCAGGAACCCCCUUAGAGGCCUUGGUACAUGCAGCUGCCUUUGCCAGGAAAGCCCUUCUUCCCGUCUGUGCUCUCUUCCUGUAUUAAUCUUCAGAUUCUUAAACAACACUUUCUCAAGGAGGAGAGAGAUGUUUUAGAGGAUGGCCAAAAGCCAUCAGCAUGGCACAGAGAAGAUCUAAGAUCCAAAUAAGCCCCAAACCAGACAAGUGGCCUGUGAAUCACAGACGACUGAUUGGCUGUGGACGGUAGAGUUCUUUUGCUGCCCUCUGGGAGAUGGACACAAAGCAGCUCUUCCAUCUUCUUUCUUGUUUUGGAGGACAUAGCAUGGGAACCUGGUAACUGAAGCGGUUGUGGCCAUUUUGUAAUCCUGAGGGAGAAAUCCAACAGAAUCACAAAGAAGCUGACUAAGAGCCGACCAACUCAACCAGCUUUGGAACGUCCCACAUCUGGAUUUAUUGUUACAUAAAAUAUAAAGGUAUUGAGUAAUAAUAAAUCUCUAAAUAAUAAACCUAAAAAUGCACAAUUA